rnacentral:ncRNA from 1 species
ACAAAAAAGCGCCAGCUCUUUAGAAAUAAUUUAUAAAAAUAAAUUAAUGGCUAAAGAAGACGAGGAAAAGGGUUAUCGAAGUAAUCGGCGGAUGCUCUUUAGGUGGUUACAGCCUUAAUAAUAUACAAAAAUUUCAAGUAAUUGGGAUUACAAAAUUAUUAU